AAACCCAAUUCCCAUUUCCCUUCCCGUCCCCUUCUCCUAAACCGACAUUCCCUUUCCCCAUUUCCCUUUCCCUUCCUUCUUCUUCGAGCAAUCAGCAGCACCAUCAACACCUUCACCACCUUCCUCCUUCUUCUGAAAUUUCGAGUGCCUUCAAGCAAGAUUCAUCAUCUUCUCGUUGAUUCAACCGGUCCUUUUCGUUUUCCCUUUUCUCUGUGCAGCAAAAUCAGGCGGCGACUUUCACCAAACACGAACACCACUUCUCACGGUGGUUCUACAACCAUUACCGGUGUUCCUCUUCUUGUAUUUGUUGGUGUAAACAAACUAAGCUGAUUACAGAUCGGAUCCGGUCGGGAAUAAUCGGGUUAGCAAUGUUGAUGAGAGUGCUAAGGAUGUCCUUUUGAGCUGAGGCCGUGGAAGCUUAUAGUUUGUAUUAGGAAUUUGUUUAAUGUAUAUUAGUUCUGAUUAGUUCUGAUUAUGUUGAUUAUAAUGGACUCGUAGUGAGUUGUAUGGUUACUUUAUGUUUAGAUUAAAUAUUUGGUUUGAGAUUUA